rnacentral:lncRNA from 1 species
CUGUCUUCUAGAUAGAGCAGGUGGUCACCGAAGACAGCACAGCCUCCCAGCUGAACAGGAGUCAUGUGAUAAGGAAAAGGCUGCACGAGAAAAUACCGGACACCUCACCACUGUCCUCCCAGAUGAAUUUUCAUCAAGAUAAAGGGUCCAGAUUAAUGAAUUAUAGUCAGUCAACAGAAGAUUACAGACAACUCUCUGCGGACUAUAGUGACUCAAAUAGUAUUUCUGAAAGUGCAUCUUUGAUACUGUCUAACCGAGGACACAAGAGAGGGAAAGUUCCAGAGAUGCACAGGUCAUGUGACCCCACACUUAGUGGGUCAAGGACACAAAGUAGCUACAAGCUCUUCAUAAACAGGUCGGUCAGUGCUGUAGAAGAAAUCCCUGGUGGAACUCAGAAGAACAACCGACAGAACCUGUUAAGCCUAGGUUCCACUUUCUCUGUGUCUACAAAAGACUACACAGCAGCUGCUUCAUCACAGAAAUGUUUAUUCCACAGGAAGGAAAAGUUUUCAGGUCCAGAAUUUAUUAUUUUGUCUGGUGAACCACCAGUGACCUUGCAGCUGCCUGG